rnacentral:rRNA from 1 species
GACGAACCGUGCGAACGUUGUUCGGAUUCACUGGGCUUAAAGGGCGCGUAGGCGGGCUCACCAGUCAGGGGUGAAAGCUCCCGGCUCAACCGGGAAAGUGCCUUUGAUACUGUGAGUCUCGAGGGAGGUAGGGGCACGCGGAACUUCCGGUGGAGCGGUGAAAUGCGUAGAUAUCGGGAGGAACACCGGUGGCGAAGGCGGCCUUCUGGACGGAUACUGACGCUGAGACGCGAAAGCGUGGGGAGCAAACAGG